rnacentral:hammerhead_ribozyme from 1 species
AGUGGCUAAGUGAAUAACGCGAUGAAGUCUGAAGCUGACGGUAUUGUGAUCGAGUGUCAGAGCAAACAUCAACUCUGAGAUUCAGGUUCAUCCAGCUGACGAGUCCCAACUAGGACAAAACGCGCGUC